CCCCUCCCGUCCCCGCCACAUGAGCGCCGCCGCCCCUCAGAUCUGCACCCCUCUCCUCAAGCUCGCUCCUCUCUCCUUCCCCCCUAAGAUCUGCGCGCAGCUCCCUCCGCCUUCUCCUCCGCUGUCCUCCGGUGCAGCGUCGCCUUGUUCCUCACAUGGCUCGGCACAUUCAAGGUCGGUCUCCUUGCUGCCGGCCGCGGGCCGCUUGACCCGGCCUCCCCCACGCUCCACUUCGUCCUUGCUAUAGCCCUCCCCAUCAAGCUCACAAGCGCCGGGGCCCGGUCUCCCAGAGCAGCGCCGGCGGUCGCCACGCGGUCCAAGGCCGAGCAGGCGGAGUCUCUUGUAUCCUGCGAGCUCAUGGUCGUUGUCAGUACUUCCGUGCUCCUUUCAACCGCCGAAAAUGCCUGGCCGGGUUGCAUCUCUUCGCGCGCGUCGCGCUGUGCGACUCGUGCUAUUCUCCAAAGCUCGUCGUAGCUGCAGAGAUUUAUUUUCUGUAUGUUGCUCAGUUCUAUUUUCUGGUUUGCCUCAUGUUAAAUUUGACAACAAUAGAUAUUUUUUUGUAGGAAGGGAGAUCUAUUAUGGAGGAAGCAUUGUGGCAUUGCCUACGAAAACAGCUGGAUAAUAGAGUUUACAUCCCCUUCUUCAAGGUUGUCACUGAUUAACAAGUGCAAUUUGCAUCCAAUCCCCUUCCUGAGAGCUGUCGGCAGCUUAGUCUGUGUGCUUUCUCGUGGCAAACUCCCAGUGCUCUGGCGUCCUGGAACUAGGCGAUCUCAUCCAUACCCCAAUUAAUCACCACAUGGUUGCAUUACUACCAAGAAGCUUGGAACUAAGCAAAGCUGCAGGGCAUGAUCUAGAUUGAUGCAGGAUGUACACAUGUAAUGUUUAUGUUGGAUGGAAUGUUGAGUUUGUAAUUGAUGUGGUAAAGAUGUUAUUGAGAUCUGAUAUGUAUCAGCCUGUGGUAAAUUAGAAACUGAGUUAUUGUUCAAUUUGAUGUGUCAAAAAAAAUUACAAUCAUUUUUGUAUGGGAAUUAUAGCUUGUUUUUGUUGGCUAUAA